CGCAAACAAAAAGGAGGAGGAAGCAGAGGAGACAGAGAGAGGAAGCAAGCAGAGGGAGAGGCCUACUGUCACACCUGCUCCAGCUCCCCCUCCCUGGCGAGCGCCAGGCUCCUCAGCAUUACGCACACCUGCCUUCCCUCCAGCACGCACAUCAGCGAUUAUUGGAUUAUUACCUCACCUAUAUCUGUUUGGUUCCCAGCUCCAGCAUUGAUUGUCACAUGUCCUUGUAUACCCUUGUGCUGACACUGUUCCUGUCUUGUUUCAUGUCUGUUCCUGAUUAAAUGUCUCGGUUGUUGUUGUACUGAU